AAUGAACGUUGGCGGCGCGGAUUAGGCAUGCAAGUCGCGCGAGGAGUCAUUUAGCUUGCUAAAAGACGGACAGCGGCGGAAGGGAGAGUAACGCGUGGUUAUGUACCCUCGAGACCGGGAUAGUGUCGGGAAACUGGCAGUAAUACCGGAUAACAUCUUCGGAUCAAAUGGUGUGAUUCCGCUCGAGGAUCGGACCGCGUACUAUUAGCUAGUUGGAGGGGUAAUGGCCCACCAAGGCUUAGAUGGUUACCGGGUGUGAGAGCAUGGCCCGGCUCACUGGGACUGAGACACUGCCCAGACAUCUACGGAUGGCUGCAGUCGAGAAUCUUCGGCAAUGGACGAAAGUCUGACCGAGCGACGCCGCGUGCGGGAUGAAGGCCCUCGGGUUGUAAACCGCUGUCAGUUAGGAGGAAAUCCAUGAGGGUUCUCUCUCAUGGUUGACCGAUUUUCAGAGGAAGGACGGGCUAAGUUCGUGCCAGCCGCCGCCGUAACAC
rnacentral:rRNA from 1 species